AGAACACAUCGCUGCUGUUUAAGGCAGCCGGUGUACGGCACUCUGCUCUGCCAGUCCUAGAAAGCAGCACAGACUCUCACCCACUGCUUAUCUUUAUUUCUUUUUUCUUUUUUUCAUAUCUUUCUGCUUUGGCCAAAAGUGUAGGAACACUGAUGCCGUAGCUGGCCACAUGGAUCAUCUGACUGUGUAGCCAUGGGACCAGCCCAAAGCGAUCAACCAUUACGCAAGUUGUCACAGAUGGCGCAGAGCCAAAACUAAAAGUCGUGUAGCCCAGGCACACGCGGGGGGAGGACCUCCGACCUCCUCCGUGUUACCACCCCCACCCUGGUGGGCUGGCUGCGUCCGUCGCCUGGGACAGUUGGGAGUGCCGUGCGAGCUGGACUCGCCCCAGAUCCGGAGACAGAUGCGAGGGUUGCCUCCUGUCUCCUUGCCAGUUGUCUCGCAGUAACGCUUUCUCUUUCCUCAGAGGCCAGGGCCACAGCCUCGGCCCCCGUGCAUGCGGGAGUGCGUCCGUUGCUCCCUAACAACUGGAUGCGGUUAAAAGUAAGACAGCCCAAUAAGAUUAUUUUUGGUAUGGAUAUUAAGGGAAAUAACUAGUUUGAAGUUGUGUUUUCUUUUCAGUUAUUUAUCCCGAGUAAAUGUAGAAAUCGCCACACGCUAGCGGUGUGGCCGUGGGAGAAGCCGGCUGACCCGGAUGCCGCGCCAGGACGUGCGGUGUCAGACCCACGCUGUGCGCCUGUGUGCGCCCACAUGCACACGGGCCUCACGCGCGACACGUCCUGCGUGUCACAUAGGCAGCACAUCACUCCGCACGUGUCACUCCCUGACCAUACCCCCGUAACAAAGCUGCUGCUAUGCCCUCAUGUCACCAAGGAGCAAACACACUCAGAGACACUAAGUAACGGAACCCAGGCACCACAGGCAGAACCAAGUGACAGCAGAAAUCCAAGCCAGCGGGAACUCGCCCAUUUCUUCUCCCGACGCGAGCGCAGGGGGGCCGCUCGCUGAGGGCGCCAGCGUGGGGGCGCUCUGGGGCUCGGCCCAGCCCGCCCACUGGGCAGGAAGGACCGGAGCCCGGGCCGAUGCAGGCCAGCCCCUGGCCCAGGCUCCCCCAGCCACUGAGGACGCCCGCUCCUCUGGCACUUUGAGACUGGAUGGGAAGACAGAGAAAGCACGUCCAUCCACGUGACGCCAGGAUGAAGAAUUCCUCAGAGUCGGAACUAUGGGUCCGGAGGGCAAGGGACAGCCAGCCCCUUCUCGUCUCCUCUCCGACUCCCCUGGCACAGAAUCCUCCAGGCUCCUGAUGCUGGGCUGGGAACCGAAGGAACGGGCAGCGUGUUUCUGGAGGGUCGGGUGCCAAGAGGCGGUGGAGAAGGCUCUCACUGGCUGUCAGCGUUAUGGUCCCUGAGCUACUCCUGUGCCUUGCCUGCCAUGUCUACACUGUGCCAUAGGUUCCUGUCUCCCUUUCAACACCUCCCAUCCAAAGGUGGCAAUGGAUGGCAGGGCUCUUGGUUACCUUUUCCUCAGUGCCAUGAAGAAAUAAAAAGCCACUGGAGCAUU